AGCGAACGCUGGCGGCAGGCCUAACACAUGCAAGUCGAACGAAGCCUUCGGGCUUAGUGGCGGACGGGUGAGUAACACGUGGGAACGUACCUUUAGGUUCGGAACAACUCAGGGAAACUUGAGCUAAUACCGGAUAAGCCCUUCGGGGGAAAGAUUUAUCGCCUUUAGAGCGGCCCGCGUUAGAUUAGCUAGUUGGUGAGGUAAAGGCUCACCGAGGCUACGAUCUAUAGCUGGUCUGAGAGGAUGAGCAGCCACACUGGGACUGAGACACGGCCCAGACUCCUACGGGAGGCAGCAGUGGGGAAUCUUGCGAAAUGGGCGAAAGCCUGACGCAGCCAUGCCGCGUGAAUGAUGAAGGUCUUAGGAUUGUAAAAUUCUUUUACCAGGGACGAUAAUGACGGUACCUGGAGAAAAAGCCCCGGCUAACUUCGUGCCAGCAGCCGCGGUAA
rnacentral:rRNA from 1 species